CAGUCGCCACGGUAAUACGAAGGGGGCUAGCGUUGCUCGGAAUUACUGGGCGUAAAGGGUGCGUAGGCGGACAUUUAAGUCAGGGGUGAAAUCCCAGAGCUCAACUCUGGAACUGCCUUUGAUGCUGGGUGUCUUGAGUGUGAUAGAGGUAUGUGGAACUCCGAGUGUAGAGGUGAAAUUCGUAGAUAUUCGGAAGAACACCAGUGGCGAAGGCGACAUACUGGAUCAUUACUGACGCUGAGGCUCGAAAGCGUGGGGAGCAAACAGGAUUAGAUACCCCGGUAGUCCCUGUCUCUUAUAC
rnacentral:rRNA from 1 species